UGGCGGACGGGUGAGUAAUGUCUGGGAAACUGCCCGAUGGAGGGGGAUAACUACUGGAAACGGUAGCUAAUACCGCAUAACGUCGCAAGACCAAAGAGGGGACCUUCGGGCCUCUUGCCAUCGGAUGUGCCCAGAUGGGAUUAGCUAGUAGGUGGGGUAACGGCUCACCCAGGCGACGAUCCCUAGCUGGUCUGAGAGGAUGACCAGCCACACUGGAACUGAGACACGGUCCAG
rnacentral:rRNA from 1 species